CCUACGGGAGGCAGCAGUGAGGAAUAUUGGUCAAUGGGCGCGAGCCUGAACCAGCCAAGUCGCGUGAGGGAUGACGGUCCUACGGAUUGUAAACCUCUUUUGCCGGGGAGCAAGCGUGCGUUCGUGAACGCGCGUCGAGAGUACCCGGAGAAUAAGGAUCGGCUAACUCCGUGCCAGCAGCCGCGGUAAUACGGAGGAUCCGAGCGUUAUCCGGAUUUAUUGGGUUUAAAGGGUGCGUAGGCGGCCUUUUAAGUCAGCGGUGAAAGUCUGUGGCUCAACCAUAGAAUUGCCGUUGAAACUGGGGGGCUUGAGUAUGUUUGAGGCAGGCGGAAUGCGUGGUGUAGCGGUGAAAUGCUGAGAUAUCACGCAGAACCUCGAUUGCGAAGGCAGCCUGCCAAGCCAUGACUGACGCUGAUGCACGAAAGCGUGGGGAUCAAACAGGAUUAGAUACCCGAGUAGUA
rnacentral:rRNA from 1 species